GACAGAGGUCCCGAGCGUUAGGCGGAAUCACUGGGCUUAAAGCGUGUGUAGGCGGAUCGGUAAGUACCUUGUGAAAUCCCUCGGCUUAACCGGGGAACUGCGUCUGAUACUGGAUGGCUUGAGUUUGGGAGAGGGAUGCGGAAUUCCAGGUGUAGCGGUGAAAUGCGUAGAUAUCUGGAGGAACACCGGUGGCGAAGGCGGCAUCCUGGACCAACACUGACGCUGAGGAGCGAAAGCCAGGGGAGCAAACGGG
rnacentral:rRNA from 1 species